GACGAACGCUGGCGGCGUGCUUAACACAUGCAAGUCGAACGGAAAGGCCCUGCUUUUGUGGGGUGCUCGAUUGGCGAACGGGUGAGUAACACGUGAGUAACCUGCCCCUGACUUUGUGAUAACUUCAGGAAACUGGGGCUAAUACCGGAUAGGAUCUCCUGCUGCAUAGUGGGGGUUGGAAAGUUUCGGCGGUUGGGGAUGGACUCGCGGCUUAUCAGCUUGUUGGUGGGGUAGUGGCUUACCAAGGCUUUGACGGGUAGCCGGCCUGAGAGGGUGACCGGCCACAUUGGGACUGAGAUACGGCCCAGACUCCUACGGGAGGCAGCAGUGGGGAAUAUGGCACAAUGGGGGGAAGCCUGAUGCAGCAACGCCGCGUGCGGGAUGACGGCCUUCGGGUUGUAAACAGAUUUCGACUGUGACGAAGAGUGAGUGACGGUAAUGGGUAAAGAAGCACCGGCUAACUACGUG
rnacentral:rRNA from 1 species